GCAUAUCACCGUAUCAACGCUACUAUUUUGUUACGUUUUGUUCCAAAAAUGUUGUAUGCCUCUGGGGAAUUGCUUAAUUGUUAUGUCUUAUGGAGUUAUAUGGUUUGAUUGUGUUUCAUAUAAUUCUCAGUUUACUCUGAACUUGCCAAGAUUAAGAAAAGGCAAAAGAGUUUGGGUGUUCUUAACAAGAUUUCAGAACGUUGCAGAAGUUAGAAGAGCUUCACAAUCCGUUGUGACUUGCAGCAUGCCCUAAUUUAGAACUACGAACGAUCCAUGACGAUCCUUCGCGAUGCAGCUAGUGGUCUCAUGAAAUAAGGAAACGUAUUCGUGCUAGGAACACAUGCGAAUUUCGGACGAAUAAAUCCUGCUUGUAUUUUGUAGAUAUAAUAAUACUUUGUUUCAUAAUAAACAAUUUGUCAAGUGUCAUUUAUUUACUGGUAAUAGUGCAUGUUUCAGUCGGACAAAUCUUGAUUAAUAUUUGAUACGCCGUUUUUUGCAUAUUUCAGACACAUCCAGAAAUAUGCUCCCUAUUUUAAAGAUUAAUAUGUCCGCGA